rnacentral:tRNA from 1 species
GGGGUUGUGGCUCAAUAGUAAAAUGCUUGCCUCGCACGCAUGAGGCACUGAGUUCAAACCUCAGCACCACA